rnacentral:rRNA from 1 species
ACGGCUAACUACGUGCCAGCAGCCGCGGUAAUACGUAGGUCCCGAGCGUUAUCCGGAAUUAUUGGGCGUAAAGGGCGACGUAGGCGGACAAAUAAGUUUGAUGUCAAAUAUGAUGGCUCAACCAUCAAGAGGCGUUGAAAACUGUUUAUCUAGAAUCUCGGAGAGGUAAGUGGAAGUUCCAUGUGUAGCGGUGGAAUGCGUAGAUAUAUGGAGGAACACCAAUGGCGAAGGCAGCUUACUGGACGAAGAUUGACGCUGAGGUGCGAAAGCGUGGGUAGCAAACAGGAUUAGAUACCCUGGUAG